rnacentral:RNase_P_RNA from 1 species
CAAGUUGGCUGGGCAGUCGCUGUUCGAUUACUAUUCGUAAUUGAGUGGAGGAAAGUCCGGGCUCCGCAGGGUAGGACGCCAGGUAACGCCUGGGGGGCGAAAGCCUACGGAAAGUGCCGCAGAGAGUAGACCGCCUAAGUCAGUGUUUGUGCUGACUGGUAAGGGUGAAAGGGUGCGGUAAGAGCGCACCGCAUAGCUGGUAACAGUCUAUGGCAGGGUAAACCCCGUCCGGAGCAAGACCAAAUAGGAAUUUAAUAGUGUGAUCCGCACUGAAUUCGGGUAGGUUGCUUGAGGUGUAUGGUGACAUGCAUCCCAGAUGAAUGACUGCUGUAUCUGAUUUUCAGGUAACAGAACCCGGCUUACAGGCCAACUUGCUCU